GACGAACGCUGGCGGCGUGCUUAACACAUGCAAGUCGAACGGAAAGGCCCUGCUUGCCGGGUGCUCGAGUGGCGAACGGGUGAGUAACACGUGGGUGAUCUGCCCCUUAUUUUGGGAUAAGCCUGGGAAACUGGGUCUAAUACUGGAUAGGACCAUGCUGUAGGUGGUGUGGUGGAAAGAUUAGUUUCGGUAAGGGAUGAGCUCGCGGCCUAUCAGCUUGUUGGUGGGGUAAUGGCCUACCAAGGCGUCGACGGGUAGCCGGCCUGAGAGGGUGGACGGCCACAUUGGGACUGAGAUACGGCCCAGACUCCUACGGGAGGCAGCAGUGGGGAAUAUUGCACAAUGGGCGCAAGCCGGAUGCAGCGACGCCGCGGGGGGGAUGACGGCCUUCGGGUUGUAAACUCCUUUCAGCCAUGACGAAGCCCUUGUGGUGACGGUAGUGGUAGAAGAAGCACCGGCUAACUACGUG
rnacentral:rRNA from 1 species